GACGAACGCUGGCGGCGUGCUUAACACAUGCAAGUCGAGCGGUAAGGCCCUUUCGGGGGUACACGAGCGGCGAACGGGUGAGUAACACGUGGGUGACCUGCCCUCAGCUCUGGGAUAAGCCUGGGAAACUGGGUCUAAUACCGGAUAUGACUCCAUGACGCAUGUUGUGGGGUGGAAAGCCUUGUGCGGCUGAGGAUGGGCCCGCGGCCUAUCAGCUUGUUGGUGGGGNGAUGGCCUACCAAGGCGACGACGGGUAGCCGGCCUGAGAGGGCGACCGGGCCACACUGGGACUGAGACACGGCCCAGACUCCUACGGGAGGCAGCAGUGGGGAAUCUUGCGCAAUGGGCGAAAGCCUGACGCAGCGACGCCGCGUGAGGGAUGACGGCCUCGG
rnacentral:rRNA from 1 species